CAGGAAAUAAUUAUUUAGUUUGAUCAAUGAUAUUCCAUCUGUUUUUGAAGUUGUGACUGACAGGAAACUAGUUAAGGACAAGCCAAGUGCGGAUAGUGGAAGCAAGUCUAGGGGAAGUGCCAAGAUAAAUGAUGUAAGGUUAUUACAAUGGACGAAAUUGAGCAUCAUGUUGACGAUGCUCAGGUUGAUUGUUCUCAUGACAUGUCAAAGGACUAUUGACUCCUGAUGAUUGUUUAUUUUAGUUUGAUCAUGCCAUGUUAGUUAUGAAUUUGAACUUUAUUAAACUUUGACAUUGCAUUUUAUUAAACUUUAAAAACUUUGAAUUUGUAAUU